GAUAGGUUCAUCAAGGUCCACCAAUGGCUAUUAGCCAAGAUGGUCAUGGAUGCAGCCCAUGCUUAGAGUGACCCAAAACCUCCAACUACCA